GGUGGUGGAUUCGCAGUCGACGUUGGGGCUAUUGCUGAUAAUGGCAUCGGUGCUCCAUAUCUGGCCAUCGCUAAUGAUACUGGUGGUCUGUAAAAUAGAAGAAUAAAUAUUUAGAUUAAAUCAAUUCUUUAAAGAAUUUUUCUAAAAU